UUGCCCCUUGUACAUACGACAUGUAUUUUCUGCCAGGACACUGUAAGGACCAGUCCAGUGACUUGUGUGAGAUGGUUUGCGAACAGCAAAGUGUCCUUCCUGUCUGAGGUGUUGUGCUUAGUGAGUGAGCAGGUACAACAUUAGUCAUUUCCAGAGUGCCGCCCACUGCUUAGUCGGGGCUUGGAGCGCUGCAGUUGUUCAGGGUUUCUGUCUUUUCCGCUCAUUAGAUCCUUUUGGUGGGGAAGGACAGGAAUCAUCGCCGCAUUGACUUCCUUCACAUUUUGAUUUAAGCUGUCUGCAGUGCGAAGUGGCCAUCAGGAAUUUUUAAAACCCUUCUGCCUUCCUCACCGGCAACUGAGGACCUCCAAAUCCAGAUCCAUCUAAACCGUGGUGUUCUGUAAGCCAUUUCCUCUUUCCUAUUUGUUCCAAGAGCCUCAGCUCUGACCUCCUGUUGGACCCUGAGUCCCAGCCAGCUGUGAUACCCAAUUGCCUUACAGAGCACAGCUCAGGGACUUGGCCCUGAAUGCCUAGCUGCUUUAUGACGUCAGCUCUGGAAUCAGGAAACCACUCCAGGAUCAUCACCCACUCUUGGAAUUAGAGGCAUAAAUAAGGGCAGGAAGACCAGUUCUCACUCAGGUGGAGUCUGGUGCCACCUUUUCACUGGAACUUCAUAUAGAUGGGCGGGGCUUGAAAGAGCUGCUGACCGCCCAGUGUGGUUUAGGGCUGUGAGAUCUUCUUUCGGGAAAGACACAUGCUGGAGAACCCUGUCACUGGUUAGGGAAAACAGGAGACCUGCAAUCCUCUGCAGCACUGAGAAGGGCUGUCUCAAAUCACUGCUGGCAGCUAUCCCCCUGCCUCAAUACCCAGACAUUCUGUGUCUUGCUCCUCAGUUAAUAGUUUUCCUGUUAUUGUGGUUAUGGGUCUUCAGAUCAUUAAGUCACUCACGGAACUGUGAACUCCCAAAUGGCAGAGCAUAGUUUUACUUCCCCUUAGGGUCAGAUGGGAGCUGAUGAGCACCAAGUCUGGGUAACAGUGGACGAUCGGAUGAACUGUGAAUAAACUAAAGAGGAUUUGAAAGGAUGAAUGUUUCAGAAAGCAUCUCCCUCUGUGUUUGGAGGAGCACUCUCUGUGACCACAGCACAACACUUCUUCAACAAGCUGGUCCUCUACCCUUCUCUCCUUAAGUGAGCAGAUGUGCUUGGCCCCUGCUUCUCUCCGGGACACAGGAUGAGUUUUCUGUCGGUUCUCACUGGGAUGCAACCCUUUCAGAGCACUCCACUGUGGUGCCUCCACCCUCCGGGCAAAGACUCUCUUUGUUUGUGUCAUGUACUGUUUUCAAUGGUUCCCUCUGUUCAUCCGCAGCAGAAACAGGCUGUAGCUGACAGCACCCCUUUGUGACGUUGCUGCUUCAGGAUGACAUCUAUGAGGGAUGCUUUGGUCCCCACCAUCGAUGCACAAAGGUUGGGGAAACCAGAUUUCUAGGAGGAGUGACAGACUGCACAUUGAGAUACUCUCAACAAACAAUGUCAUCUAGAAUCAUCUCAAGAACAAUGAUACUCUAUGCAGAGACCUCUAGAAAUUUACUAUCUGUGAUACUUGUAGCAGAGUAAACACCAUGUAUAAUAAAAGAACUCCUUUUAUUGAUAGCUGCUUCAUUUAAAGGGUUUGCUUUCCCCUUAAGUUUCGAAAACAACAGCAUUUUAUUCUUAAAUAAAAUGGUGAUGAAAGACA